GAAGAGCCGAAAUCCUGCGGGAGCUCAUAUGACCUCUACUUCAUGUUGGACAUGUCGGGCAGUGUGAACAACAAUUGGAUGGACGUUUACAACUUUGUUGAUGAAGUGGUCAAGAAGUUCGAAAACCCGAAACUGCGGAUGUCCUUCAUCACGUACUCCACACAGGGCCACACCCUCAUGAAGCUCACCUCAGACAG